rnacentral:rRNA from 4 species
UUAUCGGAGAGUUUGAUCCUGGCUCAGGACGAACGCUGGCGGCGUGCCUAAUACAUGCAAGUCGAGCGGACAGAUGGGAG